rnacentral:ncRNA from 2 species
AGAAAAAUAUAAGGGAGCUGUGUAAACGGCUGAGAUAGAAGAUGUAUCUUCUGACCUCUGACCUGAUCUGGGUAAUGCCAGCGUAGGAAAUAUGUUAUAUUAGUAU